rnacentral:rRNA from 1 species
GACGAACCGAGCGAACGUUGUUCGGAAUCACUGGGCUUAAAGGGCGCGUAGGCGGGUGCUCAAGUCCGGGGUGAAAUCCCACAGCUCAACUGUGGAAUUGCCUCGGAUACUGGGUGUCUCGAGGGUGGUAGGGGUAUGCGGAACUAUCGGUGGAGCGGUGAAAUGCGUUGAUAUCGAUAGGAACUCCGGUGGCGAAGGCGAGUCUCUGGACGACUCCUGACACUGAGGCACGAAAGCCAGGGGAGCAAACAGG